GCAAAUAUGAAAAAGAAUUAUAUUUUUCUUUCAGGAAAAGUAAAAGUAAUUAUAGUAACUUUUAUUUUCCUUCUAAGAAAAAAUAAAACUUAAAUAUAGUAAGAAAAUCAGGACAAAAACCCUAACUUAAAGCCCAUUAUAAUAUGAUCAAAAGAAAAAGCAACUUAAUUAUUCAACAAACAUAAAAACUAAAUAUUUUUUUCCACAAAAUGUGUCCCAAUCAAUGAACCAUGAUGAAAUCAGACUAAUCAGAAUCUGUUCAGAAUUCAAGUGAAAAAAAUAGCUUUCCGCACUGAUCAUACAAUCUCUAGGAAAGUCUACAUUUUAGCUUGUACUAAAAAAGGAAACAUCAUACCCUCUCUUCCUGCACAAUCCACAUUUUAUAUCAAAGAAGGAAGUAAGAAGCAAAAAAAAUAAAUUCUAUUUCUGCUGUUGAACAAGCUGAACAACAAAAUGAACGCCACAACAUGCUCAAGAUGAAACAAAAAAUAGAGACAUCAACUCUAAUGAAAACAAAAUAAAAUGUUGCCAACAAAUUGUUUUUAUAUUCUCUCUCUCAAUAUUUAUAAUGUCUUGAAUAUCAUUACUAUAAUAUUUUCUCACUACUUAUAUUACACCCCCUUUGAUUCUUGUUAAAUACAUUUGUAGGUUGAUCAACUUUUCUUUUGCAGUUACUUUUGAAUUUUGUGGAACAAAGGAGUUUGUGAAUUUUGCGAAAUAUUGUUCUUCCUUACUUUUGGAGAAAAGAGCUACCAACUUAUUGCCUCUAUAAUCUACCCAACAGCCCAAUAGAUAUUUAGAAGACCGGCUUACAUCAGGCAUUUGAAUACUCAAAAUAUUUUGAUAAGAAGAGGAAGGAGAAUGGUGGUUAAUGGUGCUGCAAUAUGCCAGAAAAAUAAGUAGUUUAAAGAGUGAAAUAGGCAGAUGUUAAAGGUGAUGUUUCAACACAACACCCAAAGAAAAAGACGUUUAAGAAGUUCAGUUCACAAAAGCUGGACUUAAUUCUCCACUAUGGUUUUCAAGAAAAUGUUGUUUCUACAACCAACCAACCAUGUAUCAUACUCUUGUGACAAUAACUUUCAACUUUGGCACUUUUUGUACCAAUAAAUGGUUAUAUGUAAUACUUUCACAAGCUAACAACAAAACAAUGUAAUCUUUGUCCCACAUACUAUGAAGUGUAACUCUAUGUACCACAUAUCAUGAAGCAUAACUGUUUUAUCUGCCA